rnacentral:rRNA from 1 species
UACGAAGGGGGCUAGCGUUGCUCGGAAUUACUGGGCGUAAAGCGCACGUAGGCGGCUCUUUAAGUCGGGGGUGAGAUCCUGGAGCUCAACUCCAGAACUGCCUUCGAUACUGAAGAGCUCGAGUCCGGGAGAGGUGAGUGGAACUGCGAGUGUAGAGGUGAAAUUCGUAGAUAUUCGCAAGAACACCAGUGGCGAAGGCGGCUCACUGGCCCGGUACUGACGCUGAGGUGCGAAAGCGUGGGGAGCGAACAGG